ACCAAGAGGACGGUGCGAGGGCAUGGCCAUGGGUGCCAUUGUUCUCGAUCUCCGACCUGGUUUCCGUAUCGGACUCUUCUCUCUCGGGAUGCCAAUAUGCGAAUCAUUUGCUCAGAUAGAGCAGCAGCCUAACAUGUACGAUGUCUUCCACGUGAAGUACUUUGAUGAGACCCUUGUCCGUGGACAACACUCUGUGGUGAUUAUUUCUACAACUAUUUUACAUGUGGUUUGGACAUCUUAUUUGAUGGACAGGCUCAUAAGAUCAAGAAGUUUGUUUUGCAUACAAACUAUCCCGGUCAUGCAGAUUUCAAUUCAUAUAGAAAGUGCAAUUUUAUUAUCUUUGGUUCAGAUGUUGAGGGGUCUUUUGAGGAUGUAAAUGGCAGCAGACAGACGAUUGCACCAAGCACCAACUGGGAGCAAGUGAAGGUGAUGAAGAAUGGUUAUACUGCAACUGUCCGGACGUAUACAUUAUGGGAAUGCCACAGAUGCUAGUUCUUUUUUUUUUUUUUUUUUUUUUUUUCUAUGCUUUCAACUUAAAUUAGCUGUUAGAAACGGGGUUAUUCAAGCCACAAUAAAUUCUAGGGUUUAUAUAAUAUCAUUUUAGCUUUCUGAACAUUCCACUAAUUGCCUAACAACUGCAGUUUAGAAAUUGAAAUUAUCACAGGUUUGGGAGCCAUUCAUUGGCAUGAAUAAAACUCGGUGAAAUAAAUGGUUCAACCUCCUUAGCAGUAAGCUCCCUGGACCAUGAAACUCGUCCUCCGAAAUCAGCCCCUGCUCCCCAACAUUUGUAUUGUCCAUAAAACACAGUCCUGCAUUGAUGUUGUUUCAAAUUGGUUAAAAACACUAUGCAGGCAUAUAAAUCAUGGCACGUCUUGGAAGUAAAUAGGAGAGAGAAA